rnacentral:rRNA from 1 species
UACAGAGGUCUCAAGCGUUGUUCGGAUUCAUUGGGCGUAAAGGGUGCGUAGGCGGCGAGGUAAGUCUGGUGUGAAAUCCUGGGGGCUCAACCCCCAGAAUGGCACUGGAUACUGCCUUUGCUAGAGGACUGGAGAGGAGAUUGGAAUUCACGGUGUAGCAGUGAAAUGCGUAGAUAUCGUGAGGAAGACCAGUGGCGAAGGCGAAAUCUCUG